rnacentral:rRNA from 1 species
GACGAACGCUGGCGGCGUGCCUAAUACAUGCAAGUCGAGCGAGCGGAACCAGCAGAUCUGCUUCGGCAGUGACGCUGGGAAAGCGAGCGGCGGAUGGGUGAGUAACACGUGGGGAACCUGCCCCAGAGUCUGGGAUACCACUUGGAAACAGGUGCUAAUACCGGAUAAGAAAGCAGAUCGCAUGAUCAGCUUUUAAAAGGCGGCGUAAGCUGUCGCUCAGGGAUGGCCCCGCGGUGCAUUAGCUAGUUGGCAAGGUAACGGCCUACCAAGGCAAUGAUGCAUAGCCGAGUUGAGAGACUGAUCGGCCACAUUGGGACUGAGACACGGCCCAAACUCCUACGGGAGGCAGCAGUAGGGAAUCUUCCACAAUGGACGCAAGUCUGAUGGAGCAACGCCGCGUGAGUGAAGAAGGUUUUCGGAUCGUAAAGCUCUGUUGUUGGUGAAGAAGGAUAGAGGUAGUAACUGGCCUUUAUUUGACGGUAAUCAACCAGAAA